UCUUAAUCUGAUUUAAUCAUUUCGGGUAAAGUUUCUUCAAAGUAUUUUUGUAUUUUUUAGAUUGCAGUAUUACAAAGACUUAAAAUGGAAAUAAAAACAAUUUAGCAAUUUUGUGAAGUCCUUCACUCAUUAAAACACAAACAAAAAAUAAGAGUAAAUAAACUGGUAUAGAAUUAGACCUCAUGGUGGAUAAGGCUCUACUGACAAAUCCUCGUUUUAGUUUACAGAUACAUAUUUAUACACAGAAAAAUGUGUUUUUACUCACAACUGGGAUUUUCUCAGUUUUACUUUUAUUUUGGGAUUUACAAAUCGAUUCGUUGCAGUAAUAAUUAAAAUCACAAAGCGUAACCAAAUUACGCGAAAGAUUUAUUUAUUCAUCACAGAUUGCAAUACAUGAUGUAAUAACAUUGAUCUUGAACUUUGAAUUAAUCGAGAUUUUAAUUAAUUGGACAUGAAAAUAAAUAGUUAAUUAAACACA